UUGCAUUGAGAGAGAGCAAGCGUAGUCAUUUCUCAUUCUCUCUCUCUCUCUCUCUUGUCCAGAGAGAGAGAGAGAGAGAGAGCCCAAUUUCAAGAUCUGAAAGCUUAAUCUCUCUGCUUCUGCUUGGUGAGGACCUGGCCAUGUUUUUCCACAGCUUUCUUGAACUUCUUCUCCAUAUUCUCCAACAAUUCUCCAAUUCUCGUGUGAAGAUUUACCAGUUUGAAGCUCAAGAAAGCUGUGGGACAUCAUGGCAUUUCAGGGCUUCUUUUACCUCUCCCUUCUCACCCAACUUAGUAAUAUUCUCCCUCAAACACACGUUCAAUUGCGGAGUUUGAUGACAUCCGAUGCAUUAGUGCUGGUUGUCAGGCAGAGAGACAAGGUUUAAUUUAACAAGGAAGUUGAGGAAAAUUCCAUCUUUUUGCUUUAAUUUAGGGUACUGCAACACGUUUGAAGCAUGCAUGGGGAGAGAAUAAUUAAUUAAUGUGUAGAAUUAAAAAGAAAAAGGUGGAUGAGUGAAUUGUUGAGAAUUUAGAUUCAAUAUUGAAUGAGAAUUGGAAGAGGCAAAAAAAAAAAAGAGUUACUUGGUGCAGAGAAGAUUCCCCAAGUUUUCUUUUUUAUCUUCAAUCAUGAUACUGAUGUUCAUGUAGAGUAGAGUGGUGCUGCCCCUCUGCCCCUCUGCCUCUGCCCACUGCCACUUUAUUUUCUUUUUUUUUCCUUUUUUAAUUUUCUCCCCCUCCCCUAAUAUUCUCCUACAUUUCUGUGAAAAAAGUUCUAACUUUGUCACUAUCUGACCCUCUUUCCCUUUCUUUUUAACCGCUCUCUCUCUCUCUCUCUCUCUCUCUCUCUUCAUUUUUUUACCCACCUUAAUUUCUUUUUUUUUUAUCCCUUUGUUUCACAAUUCGCAGAGAUCGGUUACAACUACUGGGUUUUGAUGGUGAGUCCGAAUUUUGUAUUUAAUUUGUUUCAUGUAAAUGUAAUUAGGCGUUAGGUAGAGCUCCUAGUUCUUUCUCUCUCUCCUCCAACAGAAUUGAUCAUGCUUUUUGUGCCAUUUUGACAAGUACGACAAAGUAAUUCGGUUCGAUUCGAUUCGGUUCAAAAUGAAGGAAUUCAAAAUGUUGGCAUGAGAAAUCGGUUCGAUUCAAA